GUGCCUUAAACUAGUAAGGAAAACAAAGUGCGCGGUGGGAGCCGCUUGCAGCGCCCAUUAUAACGUGCGCAAGAAUUUAUGGACGGGUGAUAGGCUGGCCAAGCACUGACGCUGCUUACUUUGCAGAACUUGCUUGUGCUGCCCUCCC